rnacentral:rRNA from 1 species
AUUGAACGCUGGCGGCAUGCCUUACACAUGCAAGUCGAACGGCAGCACGGGAGCAAUCCUGGUGGCGAGUGGCGAACGGGUGAGUAAUAUAUCGGAACGUGCCCAGUAGUGGGGGAUAACUGCUCGAAAGAGCAGCUAAUACCGCAUACGACCUGAGGGUGAAAGGGGGGGAUCGCAAGACCUCUCGCUAUUGGAGCGGCCGAUAUCAGAUUGGCUAGUUGGUGGGGUAAAGGCCUACCAAGGCAACGAUCUGUAGUUGGUCUGAGAGGACGACCAGCCACACUGGGACUGAGACCCGGCCCAGACUCCUACGGGAGGCAGCAGUGGGGAAUUUUGGACAAUGGGCGCAAGCCUGAUCCAGCAAUGCCGCGUGCAGGAAGAAGGCCUUCGGGUUGUAAACUGCUUUUGUCAGGGAAGAAAUCCUCUAGGUUAAUACCCUUGGGGGGAUGACGGUACCUGAAGAAUAAGCACCGGCUAACUACGUGCCAGCAGCCGCGGUAAGAC